rnacentral:rRNA from 1 species
GACGAACGCUGGCGGCGUGCUUAACACAUGCAAGUCGAGCGGUAAGGCCCUUUCGGGGGUACACGAGCGGCGAACGGGUGAGUAACACGUGGGUGACCUGCCCUUAGCUCUGGGAUAAGCCUGGGAAACUGGGUCUAAUACCGGAUAUGACUCCAUGACGCAUGUUGUGGGGUGGAAAGCCUUGUGCGGCUAGGGAUGGGCCUGCGGCCUAUCAGCUUGUUGGUGGGGUGAUGGCCUACCAAGGCGACGACGGGUAGCCGGCCUGAGAGGGCGACCGGCCACACUGGGACUGAGACACGGCCCAGACUCCUACGGGAGGCAGCAGUGGGGAACCUUGCGCAAUGGGCGAAGGCCUGACGCAGCGACGCCGCGUGGGGA